rnacentral:rRNA from 1 species
AGGCACCGGAAAAGUCUGUGCCGGCCGCCCCGGUAAUACGGAGGGUGCCAGCGUUUUCCGGAAUUACCGGGCGUAAAGCGCGCGUACGCCGCCUGUUUAGUCAGAUGUGAAAGCCCUGGGCUUAACCUGGGAACUGCAUUUGAUACUGGCAGGCUUGAGUGUGGUAGAGGGAAGUGGAAUUCCGGGUGUAGCGGUGAAAUGCGUAGAUAUCCGGAGGAACAUCAGUGGCGAAGGCGGCUUCCUGGACCAACACUGACGCUGAGGUGCGAAAGCGUGGGUUGCAAACAGGAUUAGAUACCCUGGUAGUCCACGCCGUAAACGAUGUCAACUAGUCGUUGGAAGGUUUAAUCCUUUUAGUGACGUAACUAACGCGAUUAGUUGACCGCCUGGGGAGUACGGCC